rnacentral:rRNA from 1 species
GAGUUUGAUCCUGGCUCAGGACGAACGCUGGCGGCGUGCCUAAUACAUGCAAGUCGAGCGAGCGGAACUAACAGAUUUACCUCGGUAAUGACGUUAGGAAAGCGAGCGGCGGAUGGGUGAGUAACACGUGGGGAACCUGCCCCAUAGUCUGGGAUACCACUUGGAAACAGGUGCUAAUACCGGAUAAGAAAGCAGAUCGCAUGAUCAGCUUUUAAAAGGCGGCGUAAGCUGUCGCUAUGGGAUGGCCCCGCAGUGCAUUAGCUAGUUGGUAAGGUAAAGGCUUACCAAGGCGAUGAUGCAUAGCCGAGUUGAGAGACUAAUCGGCCACAUUGGGACUGAGACACGGCCCAAACUCCUACGGGAGGCAGCA